rnacentral:tRNA from 1 species
GCUUUCUUAGUAUAACAAGUACAAAUGACUUCCAAUCAUUAAACCUCGGUUUAACCCCGAGAGAAAGUA